GACGAACGCUGGCGGCGUGCUUAACACAUGCAAGUCGAGCGAUGAAGCUCCUUCGGGAGUGGAUUAGCGGCGGACGGGUGAGUAACACGUGGGCAACCUGCCUUAUAGAGAGGAAUAGCCAUCCGAAAGGAUGAUUAAUACCUCAUAAUAUUGUAGUUUCGCAUGAAGCAACAAUCAAAGGAGCAAUCCACUAUAAGAUGGGCCCGCGGCGCAUUAGCUAGUUGGUGAGGUAACGGCUCACCAAGGCGACGAUGCGUAGCCGACCUGAGAGGGUGAUCGGCCACAUUGGGACUGAGACACGGCCCAGACUCCUACGGGAGGCAGCAGUGGGGAAUAUUGCACAAUGGGGGAAACCCUGAUGCAGCAACGCCGCGUGAGUGAUGACGGCCUUCGGGUUGUAAAGCUCUGUCUUCAGGGACGAUAGUGACGGUACCUGAGGAGGAAGUCACGGCUAACUACGUGCCAGCCGCCGCCGUAA
rnacentral:rRNA from 1 species